UUUUCCUCCAAUUUCAAAUUGGCCAAAAAAACCAAAAAAGUAAGUCUAAAAGACUCGCUGAAAAUAUAUUUACCUUUUUUCACUCUCAAAAGGCUCUCCCAAGUGACCUCUCAGAAAACUCUUGUAGUGACCUCUUAGAAACUCUCAAAAAUUAGUGACCUAAUUCUUUAAGAAAUCAACAAUUACAAAUCUUAAGAUGAAUGAUUUGCUUUACAAAAGAAGAGGAUGAACGAUUCGCUUCACAAAAGCUUCAUCCCAUCGGAAGGAUUUUUGUUGGAAUAGAGUUUAUAAGGUUGUAGUCAUCCUAAAAAGAUUGCAGACUAACAAAAAUUGAGGCACCAGAGUGAUGCUAAACAGUUAAUGAUUGUCACUGCGUUUUCCCCUUCAAAUAAUAGUCUCUGGCUUUGUAGUUGAAGUCGCUCAAGGAAAAGAAAACAGAGAGAAUAGAAAAGGAAAGAAGAAUGAGUCAGGCAACAACUUUAAUGAAAAAACUCUCGAAUCCAAAUAAAGCCCAAAGUCCUAUGAAGAAUAUGAAUUCUGAUAUCCAGUACUGCUCAAGUGUUGAAUUAGCCAAAAAAUAUAAGAUUACGAGAGAAGAGCUUGCAAAAGAAUACAAUGAUAAAACUAGAAAAGAGCAGGCAACAAUGGCCCAUAAAAGAAAGAAUCCUGAGGGGUCCAUUCCACAACAAGGAAAGAGUAAAUUUCAUGGACACAAGUCAAUGAUCCAAUCGAACUCAAGGGAACAGAUUAAUACUUCACAAAUGAUAACAGAAAAGGACCAAACACACAUAUGUUAGUUAUUUCAGUCUCAAUUUGGAGAGUCCAUUCAAAAGAAAGGAAUGGAAUUGCCUAUGCACAACUUCAUGUUGCAAUCAUCAUCAAAGGUGGAUGUUAAUACUUCACAUAUCAUUGGAAAGUACAAGGUGAUGAAGAGAAACCACAUGCUAUUCAAGAGCUACAAAACUUCAAACAGGUGAAGAGGAAGUCAGUCAUACAAGCGACUAGUCUUUAUCAGUUUCUAGAAAAACAACGAAUAUACGUAGGUGGUGAAAAGCAACAUGAUGUUCACACAACAGAUGAUCUGCUGCCUUCUUUUGUUGAUGAACAUAAUAUAGGAUUGGAUGAUCUUGCAGAACAUGAAGAAAUUGGUCAGGAUGGGUGUGCUAGAUAUGAGGAUAUGACCAUCGAUUGUAGUACAAAUGGUAUCUAUUAAACAUUUUAAAUUUAUUGUUCCUUGUAUAUUGUUUUUUCUUAUUUCAUGUCUAUUACAUCGAUCUAGAGAUAUCAGAGAAGAAAAAAGAUCGAGGGCAAACAACAUGCAAGAAAAUUCACACAAUAAAUUUAGAUGAAAGAGACGAUGUGAUAUUUUACAAAGGACAAG